GUACUUGCCUGGUAGGGGAGAUACCAUGAUCACGAAGGUGGUUUUCCCAGCGCCAGGCUUAUCCAUUGCACUCUGGAUGUGCUGACCCCCGCAAUUUCCGAAAUGUGGGAAACUUGACUGCAUAAUUUGUGGUAGUGGGGGACUGCGUUCGCACUUUCCCCUA
rnacentral:snRNA from 1 species